rnacentral:rRNA from 1 species
GAGGGGGAUAACUACUGGAAACGGUAGCUAAUACCGCAUAACGUCGCAAGACCAAAGAGGGGGACCUUCGGGCCUCUUGCCAUCGGAUGUGCCCAGAUGGGAUUAGCUAGUAGGUGGGGUAACGGCUCACCUAGGCGACGAUCCCUAGCUGGUCUGAGAGGAUGACCAGCCACACUGGAACUGAGACACGGUCCAGACUCCUACGGGAGGCAGCAGUGGGGAAUAUUGCACAAUGGGCGCAAGCCUGAUGCAGCCAUGCCGCGUGUAUGAAGAAGGCCUUCGGGUUGUAAAGUACUUUCAGCGGGGAGGAAGGGAGUAAAGUUAAUACCUUUGCUCAUUGACGUUACCCGCAGAAGAAGCACCGGCUAACUCCGUGCCAGCAGCCGCGGUAAUACGGAGGGUGCAAGCGUUAAUCGGAAUUACUGGGCGUAAAGCGCACGCAGGCGGUUUGUUAAGUCAGAUGUGAAAUCCCCGGGCUCAACCUGGGAACUGCAUCUGAUACUGGCAAGCUUGAGUCUCGUAGAGGGGGGUAGAAUUCCAGGUGUAGCGGUGAAAUGCGUAGAGAUCUGGAGGAAUACCGGUGGCGAAGGCGGCCCCCUGGAC